rnacentral:tRNA from 1 species
GUCUUUGUAGUAUAGUAAUUACAUUGGUCUUGUAAACCAAAAAGGGGACAACCGUCACUCCCCAAAGACU